AUGAGGGAGUUGCGGCUGCAGCAGCUCGCCGCCGUCGUGGCGGUACUGGCGUUAGUGGCGGCGGUGCGUCCGGCUGUGUGCCGGGAGCAGCAGAACAACGGUACGUUGGAGGUGGCAGGGGAGGAGACGCGGAGUGCGAGGGCGACGGCGGUGAUCGUGUUCGGCGACUCCAUCGUGGACCCGGGGAACAACAACAACCUGCACACCCAGAUCAAGGCCAACCACGCGCCCUACGGCAAGGACUUCGACGGCCACCUCGCCACCGGCCGCUUCUCCAACGGCCUCGUGCCCUCCGACCUCCUCGCCCAGAAACUUCACGUGAAGAAGCUGGUUGCUCCGUGGCUCAACGUCGACCACACUCCGGAGGACCUCCUCACCGGAGUCAGCUUCGCCUCCGGCGCCACCGGAUAUGACCCACUCACUCCAAAAAUCGUGAGUGUGAUCACGCUGGAGCAGCAGCUGGAGUACUUCGAUGAGUACCGCAACAAACUAGUGGCCAUCGCCGGCGAGGAGGAGGCCGAGAGGAUCAUCGAUGGCGCCUUCUUUUUCGUGUGUGCCGGCUCGGAUGACAUCGCUAACACCUACUUCACCACACCGUUUCGGAGCGUGCAGUACGACAUCCCGUCCUACGUGGACCUCCUCCUCGUUGGUGUGGACAAGUUCCUCCGAAGCGUGAGUGCACGCGGCGCCAAGAGGAUCGGCUUCGUAGGCCUCCCGCCCAUCGGAUGUGUGCCGUCGCAACGGACGGUCGGCGGCGGGUUCCAUCGUCGUUGUGAACCCAAGCGCAACUACGCAGCGCAGCUCUACAACUCAAGGGUCCAGGAGCUCAUCGACGGGAUGAAAGAGGAGCUCAACACCCGCAUUGUCUACCUAGGGAUCUACGACAUCAUCCAAGAGCUCGCCGAGGAUGGGGAGCGUUGGGGCUUCACGGAGACGACCCACGGGUGCUGUGGGACCGGGCUCAUCGAGGUGACGAAUCUCUGCGACUCGAGGUUCAUGGCGGUGUGCGACGACGUAUCCAAGCAUGUCUUCUUCGAUAGCUUCCAUCCCACGCAAAGGGCGUACAAGAUCAUUGUCGACAACAUGUGGGACACCUAUGGCCAUCUCCUGUAA
rnacentral:rRNA from 1 species